UGACCUGUUGGAGAGCCAAAUUUAUGGAGGCCUUUUUUUCCCAUGUUCUGCGUGGGACCAUCGAUGUGUCUUCUGACAGCCGUCUUUGUGACCAGCGUUUCUCACCUCUCUUGCACAGCUCCCGUCAUGUCCGGCAGCUCACCAUCUGCAACAUGUUGCAGGGAGCAACUGAGCUGGUGGCUGAGCCCAACCGCAGGGUUUUGGAGACCCUGGCCAGUUCUCUGCACACCCUCAAGUUCCGCCACCUGCUGUUCUCUGAUGUGGCAGCUCAGCAGUCACUUCGACAGCUAUUGCAUCAGCUCAUUCACCAUGGGGCUGUUAGCCAAGUGUCGCUGUACUCCUGGCCUGUGCCUGAGUCAGCCCUUUUCAUCCUUAUCCUCACCAUGAGUGCUGGCUUUUGGCAGCCAGGCCCUGGUAACCUGCCUUGCCGCCUCUGUGGAGAGGCCUCCCGAGGCCGGGCUCCAGCCCGCGAUGAAGGCUCGCUAUUGCUUGGCUCACGCCGGCCUCGGAGGGAUGCAGCAGAGAGAUGUGCUGCAGCGCUGAUGGCCACUCGGCGGAAGAAUGAAGUCAAGCAGGUGCCUAGAGCUGCACCUGCCACUCGUGUAACACGCCGCAGCACACAGGAGAGCCUGGCACCAGGCGGAACAGACCCCCAGAGGGAGCUGCACCCUCCAGCCACCUCUUAUGAGGCUUCUGGUACCAAGCAGUCACUCUCUGCUCCAGCUGCCACCUCCUCUGCCUCCUCUUCCACAUCCUCAUCCAAACGGGCUCCAGCUAGCUCAGCCUCACAGCCUAAGCCCUUAAAGCGUUUCAAAAGAGCUGCAGGGAGAAAGGGUGCCCGCACCCGUCAGGGGUCUGGGGCAGAGUCUGAAGACCUCUAUGACUUUGUUUUUAUUGUGGCUGGUGAAAAGGAAGAUGGUGAAGAGAUGGAGAUUGGGGAAGUAGCUUGUGGAGCUUUGGAUGGAUCAGAUCCCAGCUGUUUGGGGCUUCCAGCACUGGAGGCCUCCCAACGAUUCCGUAGCAUUUCCACCUUGGAGCUGUUCACAGUUCCUCUCUCCACAGAGGCAGCUCUAACACUGUGCCACCUGCUGAGCUCCUGGGUGUCUCUGGAGAGCCUCACACUCUCCUACAAUGGUGAGCACCUAAAGGGACAGGGCUGGGCUUGGAUCUCUCAGCAGCAAUGUGCCUGAUCCAGAAAGGGGUUAUAGGGGAAACAAGAGGUAUAAUCAGGAAGCCGGGAGGGUGGUCCUUUGUUUCUCAUGGAGGCAAAAAAACACUGCUACACUGUCAGAAUUGCAAGAGAGGAAAAUGAGGUCUAUAGUCUUGAUUAACUGUGAAAGCAGGGUUUCUAGAGAGGCUAAGGAGUCAGCUAGAUAAAAGAGGCAAUCCAGACCUAUCCAGGGCUCCAGGAUUGUAUCACACCAGUCACAUCAAAACAACUGUCCAAACAAGGUAUAAGUAAAAUUUUGUUUACCAGACCAACAACCUGUAAGACAGACAGUCUUCUGUCCUUUAAGACUUGAUUGUGCCCAGU